rnacentral:lncRNA from 1 species
CCAGAUCAUGAAUUAGUAACUGCAUCCAAUCUCCAAAAAAAUCCCAAUUGUUUCGAACUUUUUUUUUUUUUGAAAUGGAAUAUUUACGAAAUCCCCAUAAAUAGGAUGAUCACCUCUUUCUUAUUCUUAAGCAAGUCCCCGAGAGGGCUUAAUUGAUCCAUGAUUUAUGUUUCAUCUUUCACUUCCUUUUCCUUUGUUUCGAGAAAUAUAGCGAUCAAUUCCGAUUCUUUCUUUUUUUUAUUGAUUCUUUUCCGAUCGAGAUGUAUGGCUCCAUGAGUCUAUGUGUCUAUAUAGAUC